GACGUAGGGCGCGAGCGUUGUCCGGAUUUAUUGGGCGUAAAGAGCGUGUAGGCGGCCAGGUAGGUCUGCUGUGAAAACUCGAGGCUCAACCUCGAGAUGUCGGCGGAAACCAUCUGGCUAGAGUCCGGAAGAGGAGAGUGGAAUUCCUGGUGUAGCGGUGAAAUGCGCAGAUAUCAGGAAGAACACCCGUGGCGAAGGCGGCUCUCUGGGACGGUACUGACGCUGAGACGCGAAAGCGUGGGGAGCGAACAGG
rnacentral:rRNA from 1 species